UGCUGUUGGUGAUGAUUUUUAAAAUUAACAGAUGGGAAUCUCUCUGAAAAAGAAUGAAGAUUUAUAAAAACUGAAACAGUA